rnacentral:lncRNA from 1 species
GAAUAAGUGAAUGGGUGGAAGGAUGGGAAGGGCCUCUGAAGAUGCAAGGAGGGCUGCCUGGAUGGAGGAAUCUCUGUAAUGGCAGAGGGAUGGAAGGAUGAGUCUCGAAGGACAGAUGGAGGGUUCUCUGAAAAUGGAUGGAUGGAUGGAUGGAUGGAUGGAUGGAUGGAUCGAUGGAGGGUGGGAGGUCAGACUGGGGGCUCCUGGGAACCCAGCUGUCCACCAAAGCAGCCCACUCCCACACAGGGUCACCCUCCGCCGGGCAUCCUCCAGCAAAAGCCGCAAGGAGAAAGGCAGCAACCGCCUGUCCAUGGGCAGCAGGUCAGGACCCUCACCCCACAUGGGGGGCUGCCAGGCCCCGUGCAGCACAGGGGGCAGCCCCAGCACCCUAACAUGGCUCUGUCCCCAGGGAGGUGUCAGAAGGUCCUGGCCGUCCUUCGGGGUCACCCUUCCUGUCCUUCUCCUGGUUCUCAGAUGGUGCCAGGGGCUCGGCCUCCCCCGGCUCUGCAUCACCCACUGGCUCCCCCCGGCACGAGGGGUUCAGCCCCGCCAAAUCUGCCUCCCAGGACUCGACGCUGAGCGAGGACUCCCCACCCCCCAGCUCCAGCCCGCGCCUGCCUGGCCCUGCUGCCACCAAGUGCUCCUACCCCUACCACACGCUGUCACAGUCCUCGGAUGAGUUCCUGGAUGAGCCCCCCGGUGCGGCCAUGGGCUGGACGUGCCACCAGGUCGGGCAGUGGCUGGAGAGCCUCAGCCUGGAGCAGUACGUGGAGGAGUUCUCGGCCCAUGGCAUUGAUGGCCCCCGGCUCCUGCAUCUCGAUGGGGCCAAGCUCAAGGUAGGGAACUGAGCAGGUGCCUGCACCUCUGGGGGGGGGGGGGGUUAGGGAUGCUGAUAUACUCAGGCAUGAGGCAAGAGCUUCUAGGCACACCAACAGGCUGCUUGACGGGGGUAGGAGGUCUGUGUGUGUUCUAGGUACCCCAAUUGACUAACUAGAAGAUAACAGGCUCCAGGUAACCCAACAAGUGACUCUAUGGGACAGGAUAUCUGAGUGGGUUCUAGAUCCCUCAGUGGGCUGCUUCAAUGGGGCAGGUUUAGUUGGGGGUCUAAGUAACAACAGGCAGCUCCAUUGGGUAGGAUGUCUAGGCGGAUUCUAG